rnacentral:rRNA from 1 species
AACGAACGCUGGCGGCAUGCCUAACACAUGCAAGUCGAACGAGACCUUCGGGUCUAGUGGCGCACGGGUGCGUAACGCGUGGGAACCUGCCCUUAGGUUCGGAAUAACUCCCCGAAAGGGGUGCUAAUACCGGAUAAUGUCUUCGGACCAAAGAUUUAUCGCCUUUGGAUGGGCCCGCGUUGGAUUAGCUAGUUGGUAGGGAAAAAGCCUACCAAGGCGACGAUCCAUAGCUGGUCUGAGAGGAUGAUCAGCCACACUGGGACUGAGACACGGCCCAGACUCCUACGGGAGGCAGCAGUGGGGAAUAUUGGACAAUGGGCGAAAGCCUGAACCAGCAAUGCCGCGUGAGUGAUGAAGGCCUUAGGGUUGUAAAGCUCUUUUACCCGGGAUGAUAAUGACAGUACCGGGAGAAUAAGCUCCGGCUAACUCCGUG